UGCCCCCAUCUCAACAGAUAUAAUCCGUGAUUUCUACGGCAACUACGACCGAUUCACUAAGUACGACUGCCCCCAUUUCUACAGAUUUAAUCCGUGAUUUCUACGGCAACUACGACAUAUUCGCCGAGUACGACUGCCCCCAUCUCUACAGAUUUAAACCGUGAGUUCUACGCCAACUACGACCGAUUCGCC